AAUGGGGAAAAUACCAAGUUGUGGACGAAAUGGUAAAAAUAGCCAUUUUCGCAUACGAGUGUUGACAAGCCAGCUCGGAAAUCAGAAACGGUCGGAGGCACGCUCACACUAUCCGUAUACCAUCUUGGCAUAAUGGCUUGUAUAUUUUGAGUAUGGCAUGUAUAGCAUUAUAAUCAUUUUGUAUAUAUGGUCUUAUGAUAUGGUUAUUGAGUGGUAUGAAAAUAGAAAUGCUUGGUAAUGAUUAGCCAUUGGAAUGGCUAAUCAUGAUCAUAUUUGGUAUUAUGUAUGUCAAAUUGCUAGCUAAUCCAUGGAAACCAUGAAAUAGGUAAAAUUUACCAUAAAA